CCACAGGCCGUCACCCUGCAGCUCCAGUGUUUUUCCCAGAACAGCAGUAUGGGAAGAUGUCAUGCUCUGAGCUGAACACGAAAACGCGAGCCAGAAGGGCUGGGAAGAGGAGGAGCAUCCCUCAGAACCUGGAAUUGCGAGGUGGCAUUGCUGGAGAUUCUCGUGGGAAUAACUUAAAGAAUCAGGCCCUCUGUUUACAAACUUUCCCAGGGAGAAGAGCAGGAACACCUCAUCCCAUCCUCCCGUCACUCCCAGCCUCUCUCGCCAGGGUCUGCCCGGAUCUCCGCGCAGCUCCAGAGGUCUGGAUAUUACCAUCCAUCACAGCAGCUCCGCUUCCAGCGCUUGCUAAACGCCUGAAUUUCCCGCUGGCUCGAUGAACAGCUUUCAGCUUGUGGUACAUUACCCAGGCACCGGGUGAAUGGGGCUGAGCGCUCCUGUUUGGCUGCGAGCGCCGCGUUCACCUGAGCUCGCUGGCAGGAUGAAUAGCUCACCACCGUUCUGCUGCUAACCCCCUUUGUCAACUAGCACUGAGCCAUGGACCUUAUUACAAAGGCCGACAGCUCCCUGGAAACUUAAAUCCACUCUUUUUCCCUUCCCUACCAUAGGGAGCUAUAAAAGAAAAGGACUUGGUUGGUAGGCAUGUAAUAUAACAAAAACCCUUCUGUUGUGGCAGGAUCCAGACUCCCCAGUAACAAUGGGGAUUAUGCUCUCACACCAAAAAUGCAGUUGCUAGUUUUAACUGGAGUACCUUAUUACAGAUUCCUACAGAGCACAUUUAUGUCAGGGGCUUGGAUGUUUAACUUAAGUCAAGCCUGGUAGCAGAGAGAGCUCAGAAACCUCUGGUUUGGGUUGUGGUUUUGGUUUUUGGUUGGGUUUUUUUUUGGUUUUUUUUUUGAUAUGGAGGGCAAAGAUGCAGCUCGAUAUGCUGCUUUGGUGCUAGCUUCCCCCAAACCACUUCUCAGAGAGCUUUAAAUAUCCUGACACUGGCACCGGGCAGGGGCUGGCAGAAGAAUGGAUUUUUUCAUCUGAUGGCUCGCCAAGGUUGUUUUCAAGAAGAAGUAGAAGAAGAAGGGGAAAGAAAAAAACCCUAAAAAACCCCUUUUGCAUGCCAGUCAUUCAUUGCCUGCCAGUUCCCAUGGUUCUCCUACGGAUGGUAGCCACAGAACUAUUCAAAAUACAGUAAACACUGAGGAAAAGUGAAAAGAAACUCAUGAAGCAGAGAACAGAGAAGGAAAAGGAGCUGGGUAUGGGAUACAUGGUAGUAAGAGUCACUUAGGAAUUACUUUAGGGUGUACCAUGAAUGCUCCACUCAGUGCCAGCAGUAGCUGGACCAGCACAGUUUAGGGAGGACCUACCCCACUUCAG
rnacentral:lncRNA from 1 species